GGAUAUAGCUCAGCUUGGUAGAGUACCUGGUUUGGGACCAGGGUGUCGUAGGUUCAAAUCCUACUAUCC
rnacentral:tRNA from 1 species